rnacentral:rRNA from 1 species
UCGACGAAGCUUGACGAAUGAUUUCUUCGGAAUGAAAUCUGAUAUAACUGAGUGGCGGACGGGUGAGUAACGCGUGAGCAACCUGCCCUUCGGAACGGGAUAGUGUCUGGAAACGGACAGUAAUACCGUAUAACGUAUUUUUACCGCAUGAUAGAAAUACCAAAACUGAGGUGCCGAAGGAUGGGCUCGCGUCUGAUUAGAUAGUUGGUGGGGUAACGGCCUACCAAGUCGACGAUCAGUAGCCGGACUGAGAGGUUGAACGGCCACAUUGGGACUGAGACACGGCCCAGACUCCUACGGGAGGCAGCAGUGGGGAAUAUUGCACAAUGGGGGAAACCCUGAUGCAGCAACGCCGCGUGAAGGAAGACGGUUUUCGGAUUGUAAACUUCUGUUCUUAGUGAAGAAUAAUGACGGUAGCUAAGGAGCAAGCCACGGCUAACUACGUGCCAGCAGCCGCGGUAAUACGUAGGUGGCAAGCGUUGUCCGGAAUUACUGGGUGUAAAGGGAGCGUAGGCGGGAUGCCAAGUCAGCUGUGAAAACUAUGGGCUUAACCUGUAGACUGCAGUUGAAACUGGUAUUCUUGAGUGAAGUAGAGGUUGACGGAAUUCCGAGUGUAGCGGUGAAAUGCGUAGAUAUUCGGAGGAACACCGGUGGCGAAGGCGGCCAACUGGGCUUUAACUGACGCUGAGGCUCGAAAGUGUGGGGAGCAAACAGGAUUAGAUACCCUGGUAGUCCACACUGUAAACGAUGA